rnacentral:rRNA from 1 species
GAUGAACGCUGGCGGCGUGCUUAACACAUGCAAGCCGAACGAUAUCCAUUAGCAAUAGUGGUGAAAGUGGCGAACGGGUGAGUAACACGUAGGUAACCUGCCCUGAAGCGGGGGAUAACGGCUGGAAACGGUCGCUAAUACCGCAUGAGUCCAUUGAAGCGGGAGCGAGAUGGAGAAAAUCAAGGUGCUUCAGGAGGGGCCUGCGUCCGAUUAGCUAGUUGGCGAGGUAAGAGCUCACCAAGGCGACGAUCGGUAGCUGGUCUGAGAGGACGAUCAGCCACACGGGAACUGAGACACGGUCCCGACUCCUACGGGGGGCAGCAGUGAGGAAUAUUGGGCAAUGGGCGGAAGCCUGACCCAGCAACGCCGCGUGAAGGAUGAAGGCCUUCGGGUUGUAAACUUCUUUUGUCGGGGAAGAGAGAGGACGGUACCCGGCGAAUAAGUCACGGCUAACUACGUGCCAGCAGCCGCGGUAAAAC